rnacentral:tRNA from 1 species
AUUUAAAUAGUUUAAGAAAAAUAUUGAUUUGUGAUAUCAAUGAUACAGUUAUUUGUUUUAAAUA